rnacentral:rRNA from 1 species
GAUGAACGCUGGCGGCAGGCCUAACACAUGCAAGUCGAGGGAGGAGCCUUCGGGCUUCGACCGGCGUACGGGUGCGUAACGCGUAUACAAUCUGCCUUUCACAUAGGGAUAGCCCGAAGAAAUUUGGAUUAAUACCUAAUCGUAUAUAGAUGUGGCAUCACCUUUAUAUUAAAGCUGAGUCGAUGAAAGAUGAGUAUGCGUUCUAUUAGCUAGUUGGAGAGGUAACGGCUCCCCAAGGCGACGAUAGAUAGGGGUUCUGAGAGGGAUAUCCCCCACACUGGUACUGAGGUCCGGACCAGACUCCUACGGGAGGCAGCAGUGAGGAAUAUUGGACAAUGGUCGGAAGACUGAUCCAGCCAUGCCGCGUGAAGGAAGACUGCCUUCUGGGUUGUAAACUGCUUUUGCAGGGGAAGAAUAAGGACUACGCGUAGUUUGAUGACGGUACUCUGCGAAUAAGCAUCGGCUAACUCCGUG